rnacentral:rRNA from 1 species
UAACCGACUAAUGUUGAAAAAUUAGCGGAUGACUUGUGGCUGGGGGUGAAAGGCCAAUCAAACCGGGAGAUAUCUGGUUCUCCACGAAAGAUAUUUAGGUAGCUCCUCGUGAACUCAUCUUCGGGGGUAGAGCACUGUUUCGGCUAGGGGGUCAUCCCGACUUACCAACCCGAUGCAAACUAAGAAUACCGAAGAAUGUUAUCACGGGAGACACACGGAGGGUGCUAAAGUCCGUCGUGAAGAGGGAAAAAACCCAGACCGCCAGCUAAGGUCCCAAAGUCAUG